rnacentral:rRNA from 4 species
UACAGAGGUCUCAACCGUUGUUCGGAUUCAUUGGGCGUAAAGGGUGCGUAGGCGGUCGCGCAAGUCGGAUGUGAAAUCUCAGGGCUCAACCCUGAAACUGCAUUCGAUACUGCGUGGCUAGAGUGCUGGAGAGGAGACUGGAAUUUACGGUGUAGCAGUGAAAUGCGUAGAUAUCGUAAGGAAGACCAGUGGCGAAGGCGAGUCUCUGGACAGCAACUGACGCUGAGGCACGAAGGCCAGGGGAGCAAACGGG